rnacentral:tRNA from 1 species
AACAUAGAAAUGUGUUUUGCAUAGCUAUCCUUGAACUAGCCAGAGAUAGAUAAUCUAUCCUAUGUUA